rnacentral:rRNA from 1 species
CCUACGGGAGGCAGCAGUGAGGAAUAUUGGUCAAUGGACGAGAGUCUGAACCAGCCAAGUAGCGUGAAGGAUGACUGCCCUAUGGGUUGUAAACUUCUUUUAUAUGGGAAUAAAAUGUUCCACGUGUGGGAUUUUGUAUGUAUCAUAUGAAUAAGGAUCGGCUAACUCCGUGCCAGCAGCCGCGGUAAUACGGAGGAUCCGAGCGUUAUCCGGAUUUAUUGGGUUUAAAGGGAGCGUAGGUGGAUUGUUAAGUCAGUUGUGAAAGUUUGCGGCUCAACCGUAAAAUUGCAGUUGAAACUGGCAGUCUUGAGUACAGUAGAGGUGGGCGGAAUUCGUGGUGUAGCGGUGAAAUGCUUAGAUAUCACGAAGAACUCCGAUUGCGAAGGCAGUUCACUAGACUGCAACUGACACUGAGGCUCGAAAGUGUGGGUAUCAAACAGGAUUAGAUACCCCUGUAGUC